CAGUAGCCGCGGGAAUACGUAGGUGGCAAGCGUUGUCCGGAAUUAUUGGGCGUAAAGGGCUCGCAGGCGGUGUCUUAAGUCUGAUGUGAAAGCCCCCGGCUCAACCGGGGAGGGUCAUUGGAAACUGGGAAACUUGAGUGCAGAAGAGGAGAGUGGAAUUCCACGUGUAGCGGUGAAAUGCGUAGAGAUGUGGAGGAACACCAGUGGCGAAGGCGACUCUCUGGUCUGUAACUGACGCUGAGGAGCGAAAGCGUGGGGAGCGAACAGGAUUAGAUACCCGUGUAGUCCCUGUCUCUUAUAC
rnacentral:rRNA from 1 species